AAUCGAAGCAGUGAACUUAAGCCCCAGUAAACGGCGGCCGUAACUAUAACGGUCCUAAGGUAGCGAAAUUCCUUGUCGGGUAAGUUCCGACCCGCACGAAAGGCGUAACGAUUUGGGCACUGUCUCAACAACAGACUCGGUGAAAUUGUAAUUCCGGUGAAGAUGCCGGAUACCUGCGACAGGACGGAAAGACCCCAUGGAGCUUUACUGUAGCUUGACAUUGGGUCUUGGUACUACAUGUACAGGAUAGGUGGGAGGCUUUGAAACCAGGACGCCAGUUUUGGCGGAGCCAUCCUUGGGAUACCACCCUUGUAGUACUGGGACUCUAACCAUAGGCCAUGAAUCUGGUCUUGGGACACUGUCAGGUGGGCAGUUUGACUGGGGCGGUCGCCUCCCAAACGGUAACGGAGGAGCCACAAGGUUCUCUCCGUACGGUCGGACAUCGUACGUCUCGUGUCAACGCUAAAGAGAGCUUGUUGGCAAGACCCACAGGUCGAGCACAGUUGAGAAUCGGACUUAGUGAUCCGGUGGUUCUGCGUGGAAGGGCCAUCGCUCAACGGAUAAAAGCUACCCUGGGGAUAACAGGCUUAUCUCCCCCAAGAGUCCACAUCGACGGGGAGGUUUGGCACCUCGAUGUCGGCUCAUCACAUCCUGGGGCUGUAGUAGGUCCCAAGGGUUGGGC
rnacentral:rRNA from 1 species